AAUGAACGCUGGCGGAAUGCUUUACACAUGCAAGUCGAACGGCAGCACGGACUUCGGUCUGGUGGCGAGUGGCGAACGGGUGAGUAAUGUAUCGGAACGUGCCCAGUCGUGGGGGAUAACGUAGUGAAAAUUACGCUAAUACCGCAUACGAUCUAUGGAUGAAAGCGGGGGAUCGCAAGACCUCGCGCGAUUGGAGCGGCCGAUAUCAGAUUAGGUAGUUGGUGGGGUAAAGGCCCACCAAGCCAACGAUCUGUAGCUGGUCUGAGAGGACGACCAGCCACACGGGAACUGAGACACGGUCCAGACUCCUACGGGAGGCAGCAGUUGGGAAUUUUGGACAAUGGGCGAAAGCCUGAUCCAGCCAUUCCGCGUGCAGGAUGAAGGCCCUCGGGUUGUAAACUGCUUUUGUACAGAACGAAAAGGUUUCUACUAAUACUAGGAGCUCAUGACGGUACUGUAAGAAUGAGCACCGGCUAACUACGUGCCAGCCGCCGCGGUAA
rnacentral:rRNA from 1 species